CCGACAAAAUGGCGGCGGGCGGACAGCGCGGGAAGGGCCUCAGGGCCCCUCGUUCCCCUCCAGUCCCCGUCCCGUUUUGAGGUGUUUUUCCCCUCAUAGCGUGAAGAUUUUUGGGGGUUGCAGCCUUCGCUGUCCUCAGCGCGUGGAAAAUGCGCAAAAAAAACCCCAAAACAACACCAAAAAAGCCCCGAACAGCCGAGGACUGAAGGAAGGAACUGUCUCCUCACGGCCACCGUUCUGGGAAAUGCAGGAUUGUUUGUGUAACUCCCACUCUGCAGCAGAUAGCUUCUCUUAUCUCUGCACUGCCAGGUGUGGGAAGGAGGAGACUGAAAUGACAGUGAGGAGGACAGGUCGCCAUGACUUCAAAAUGCAUAGUCCAAGCAGUGAGCAAGGAGAGCAGGCCACGACACCCUGUAGGAAUUGCACUGCUUUUCUCUGUCAGUUUGGAAUAACUGGGUUUCCUUGGGAGCGUUGGACUUCUAUCACCGCAUGCUUUGGAUUGAAGAGUUACCAGAGAGACAUCUGUGAGGCUUCCGAGCUAAACAAAACCUGAAUUUCUGGUGCAAAAAGCAACCUGGAAGACAGAAGCCUUCUGCCUAGAGGAUGAAAUGCUUCAUGUUUGCAAAAAACUAGCAGGUACAGCACUUCAGGAUGUGGUUGCAGAGAUGCCUGGGGGCAAAAGGAACCAGGGCAGAAGCUGGCAUUGUAAUGUUUCUAUUAUUUUCCUAACAGAAAGUGAAAACCAGGUCUUAAUUCCAAAAAUUCUACUAUGCAGUAAGCAAGAGUGAGUUCUUUUGCAGUCUCUGACUGCACAUAGUGCUUUGCUUGGAUAGCUUAGCAAUUGCUCUGUGCUCUGCUGUUGAAGAAACAUCUAUUUUUGGGUAGCAAUGUAUUUUGAAAAGGGAAGUGUGCUUUUAUAUAUAUACACACAGAUGGGUUCAGCGUAAAUCAAAUUCCAGGGGCUCCUGAGCUGUGCUUGCUGUGCUGCACAAGGUAGCUGAUGCUCAGCCAUUGGCCACGGUGGCAUUAUUUUGCAGCAGCUCUCAUCCCCUGCGUUGUGUGGAUGAGAACACCGUGGAGUCUGGCUGAGAGAAGUGCUUGAAAAGAAGUCAGAGAAUGCUGGUACAGCUGAUGCAGGGAUGUUCUGCAUCUCAAAGGGAUGUUCUGGACAGAGUUAACACAUGAAGACUUGGAGCGCUACCCUGUAAGAGGCAAGGACUGAAAUCAAUAGCUUUGUGAAUUCAAAUCCUAUACUUUGUGUUGUUGCUUAGGAUUCAGAAUCAGGCUUCACGUUCAAAGCGUUAUCAGCACAUUAGCCAGUAUCCUCUGUCUUGGCAACACAUGAGCCCAAAUAUCAAAAAGCACCAAUUCCUUUUUGGAGAAAAUUAUCCAUUGCAUAAAACGUAAUGGGUAAGCAAUAAAAUUAGCACAGCAAUUCAGGCUGGCUUAAAAAAUGAGAUAAAAGCUUGGCUGGCAAUUUGAUAUUCAGCUGCCAUACUGUUGUGUUAAUAAAUAUAGUCAAUGAGCAGGAAAGACACGUCAAUAAAUUGCCUCGUGGCAAGAUGUUGGUGGACCUGACCGGCUUGAACAAAGCAGAACCCUGAGUGUCUGAGGGCUGUUGUCUGAGCAGCACACCAUUUCUCUGCACAAAGCAAAGCAAGCUGGAUGCUUACUGGACACUGAGGGUAAUCGCUGCGUGCUGUGAAUGCGAGUGCUGUAAUCCCUGCAGGUCUGGUCAGGGUGGUGUCCCCAGCAGUGGGGAGCAGAGUAAUGCCUCCCGCCCCACUCCGCAGCUGCAGUGCUACGAGCUCACAAAGCAGAGCCCUCACUGAGCCAGGGCUGAUUGUAGGGAGUUACAGUUUUAGCAAACAGUCCUUGUUGCUGUCCUUGUUCCGUAUCUAAUUCUUUUAGCAAGCUCCACCACUUGGGGUAAGAUACUGGGUUAGGAAUGUUAUGAACAUUGUGUUGCAUGUUAAAAAUGUAUGAGCAGUGCUGUCGGCUUGCUCUGUAAAGUGCCUUUCUAUUUAUCCACGUUUGCUCCUAGAUGGUAGGCUGCCUCUGGCUGUUGCCUUUGCUUUUGGUAUGAACCCCAAGGAUGUUUUCUGAUCCUCCUGCCCUUUUUUCCUCCAAACUGGAGAGCUGCUAACUUUAUUAGCUCCUUAUAUGGCAGCACUGUUUUUCUCACGCCUUUAAUGGCUCUCUUUUGAUCUGUCCUGCUCCUGCUUUGCUUUUCUUGAUGUGAACACAGUGUGCAAGCUGAGAUGGGUUUAUAACCUGCUCCCUCAUUAAUAUCUGGUCUGGCAUGUUAAUCCUCUCCAAGUGGUGAUAAGAAACAUGCAGAUGUUUUAACAGUGUUUGGCCGCAAUGCCUGCAGAUAGCUGGGUUCUCACUGUACUCACUGUGUGGAUGAGCAAUUAAACAGUGCCCUGCAGAGCCCCAGGCUCUGCCCUAGCGUGUGCUGGUGGCUGAGAGACGCUGGGUGAUGGAGAGCAGCUGGAUGGAGUCUCCUGUUCUGGGCUGUUUGAGUAGGAGGGGUGCAGGAUCAAGUGCUGACCUUUGAUGCUUGCUCCCAAGCUCGUUGCCAGCAGGCUGCACACAGGUCCUUGUGCAGUGACCAGGAUGACACCGGUUGCUGCCACCUCCUUUACUGAGGUCCCUUUGGCCUUCUGAGAUGCAGGUCACACUCUCUCCAAUCUGUGUUCUUUGCAAUCUCCAGAUGAGUGAGAGGGAUCUGGUUACAGCAGCACUGCCCAAGUGCGCCUGUGUGUUGCAACUGGGAACAGCUUCCCCCCAAAGCACAGUAAGAGCAUUGGAAUGAUCCAGAGCUUCGUUCUGCAUCACGGACCAGGCUACGCGCUCCUCUUCCAGCUGGCUUUCAUGUAAACAGAGCAUUUUAAGUACUAAUUUCAACCGUUUCUUCUGUCUGCAGGCUUUGUUUCUGACAGCUCCUUGAUUGUGGAUGUCCUUUCAGCCAGGCUGCCUGCAGUGUGACAGCAGUGACCCUGCAUGAGGUUUCUUUGAAGGACCUGGGAGACCAUGUGGCUUUUUUUAGUCCCUCAGAGGUGUUUCCAUGGCAGGGAGGGAGGAAAAUGUUUGGAAAUGCUGUCACAGGAGGCAUGCUUACCUGGCUAGGGGAAAACUUGCUGUAGAAAAGCCAGCUGGCGCAUGGUUUGAAGAGGGAUAGGUUCUUUUCUCUCCAAAAUGGAAUCCCUUAAGGAAGGUAUAGACAAGUAGUUCCUACUCUUGAGGUUUCUGACUGGUUAAAACAAGGAGCUGAGCCCAUUUCCAUGCAGAAAUGUGUGGUACAGUGCAUUGCAAUGCUUUUCCUUGCGUGUGCGGGGUCACACGCUUUACUAAUGGUUUGCAUGCAAGAAGUUAUUGCUUUUUUGUUUUUAAUCAGUCCAUCUCCAUUCAGCAGCGCAGCUUCACACCCACCAUCACGGGGGAAACUGAGGCACAGGGCCACUAUGGGAUUACAGGCAGAGCUGGGGAUAAGGCUCAGGUUUGCGGAGGCUCAGGCUGACGUGCGUCAGAGGGCUGCUUAAAUGGAGAGAUUUGCAGAGGGAAGUGACCUACAGCUCGAUGGCUGGGACUGCUGCUGGACCUGAUCCUUACGGGUGUCUUCCGACUCAAACCGCAGUUUGGUCAGGGGAAGAAUUUGGCAGCACGGUGCCCACGGUGAGAUUUGGUGAGCUCCUCCAGUGCCAGAGCCUGGCCCACAGCCAGCCCACAGGGUUCAUACGGCACUGAACUUUGGAGCCAUUAGAGAUAAACAGCGCUAUAGGCUAAUAAAAGGCUCUGCAUCACAGGGCCCUUGUCUGCUCACGCCA